GAAAUGAGUUCGCGAUAAGGCUUUCGAUUUCGUCUGUUCACAUUUCAGUUUACGAAUGUACGGACGAGGAAUUUUCAUUUCUAUUUUUUACAUGAAAUUGAUGUUUCUUUACACAACUGAUGUUAUACAAUGCGCAGUUCCAAUCGACAUUGACACAGAGAAACCUGGGCAAACAGUACGCCCAAUAUUCAUGUUUAUCCCUUAUAAGAAACCGUUAUUAUCUAGAAAAUACCAUUUUAACCAACCAAGAUAUGAGAAGGAAGAUAUAAAUAAUAAUCAAAAAGUUAAAGCACAGGACAGCCAUUACAUUGAUGAUUCAGAUGUCCCGUUUAUAAGGGCAAAGUCAAGGCAUCGCCCGCGCAGUGUGGGGCAUGGGGCAGACAUAUAUUUAGGUCGAGCUCAGGUUGCAAAGAACGUUAUUGGUCAUUUUAUGAAUGAUGAUGUAAUGGUACCUUAAGAGGUGGCAAUAUAACAAUCGGGAGAAGACCGAGGUUUCAAUGGAGAGUAAAUUAAAAUAGGAGUUUAUUAAAUACAUAAACGAA